rnacentral:rRNA from 1 species
AACGGAGGGGACUAGUGUUAUUCGUGAUAACUGGGCGUAAAGGGUACGUAGGCGGUUUGAUGAGUGCUUGGUAAAAGACUGAAGCUUAACUUCUUGUAUACCUUGUAGACAAUCAGACUAGAGUACGAAAGAGGAUAGUGGAACUCUUAAUGUAGAGGUGGCAUUCUGAGAUAUUAAGAGGACCGUCACUAGGCGAAGGCGACUAUCUGGUUCGGAACUGACGCUGAGGUACUAAAGCAUGGGGA